GACGAACGCUGGCGGCAUGGAUUAGGCAUGCAAGUCGAACGAGAAGCAGGAGCUUGCUCCUGUGGACGAGUGGCGAAAGGGUGAGUAACGCGUGAGCAACCUGCCCUCAAGUUGGGAAUAACUCUUGGAAACGAGGGCUAAUACCGGAUGUGAAUAUAAUCUCGCAUGGGAUAAUAUUUAAAAAUUUAAUUGCUUGAGGGAUGGGCUCGCGUACCAUUAGCUAGUUGGUGUGGUAACGGCAUACCAAGGCUACGAUGGUUAGGUGGAUUGAGAGAUCGGUCACCCACACUGGGACUGAGACACUGCCCAG
rnacentral:rRNA from 1 species